CGCGGGGUGGAGCAGCUUGGUAGCUCGUCGGGCUCAUAACCCGAAGGUCGUUGGUUCAAAUCCAGCCCCC
rnacentral:tRNA from 1 species